rnacentral:lncRNA from 1 species
CGGCGGGAGCUCGAUUAUAUAUAUUGUUGUUGCAUUUCUUUUAACUUUGUUCAUAUGAAUCCAUUUUAUUUGGUGCACUAUUUUCGAACUUUUGAGACUAUUUUUUUUAUAAAUUAUGGAUUUUAUUUUUUGUUUUAAUAUUUUUAGAUUAUAUUAAUUCUAUCUGUAUAAUGUUGAAUUUUCAAAAUCAAAUCGCGUUUUCCGAAAUUAUAUUUAAUUAAGGGCUUCCGCUGCAAGUCUAAGGGGUUUUAUAAGUAUUUUCCCAAGUAAACUGAAAUUUUAAUC